rnacentral:rRNA from 1 species
GUACUCCUACGGGGAGGCAGCAGUGGGGAAUAUUGCACAAUGGGGGAAACCCUGAUGCAGCCAUGCCGCGUGUGUGAAGAAGGCCUUCGGGUUGUAAAGCACUUUCAGUAGGGAGGAAGGUAGUGUAGUUAACACCUGCAUUAUUUGACGUUACCUACAGAAGAAGCACCGGCUAACUCCGUGCCAGCAGCCGCGGUAAUACGGAGGGUGCGAGCGUUAAUCGGAAUUACUGGGCGUAAAGCGCAUGCAGGCGGCCUGUUAAGUCAGAUGUGAAAGCCCGGGGCUUAACCUCGGAAUUGCAUUUGAAACUGGCAGGCUAGAGUCUUGUAGAGGGGGGUAGGAAUUUCAGGUGUAGCGGUGAAAUGCGUAGAGAUCUGAAGGAAUACCAGUGGCGAAGGCGGCCCCCUGGACAAAGACUGACGCUCAGAUGCGAAAGCGUGGGGAGCAAACAGGAUUAGAUACCCUGGUAG